CCCUUAGACGUUCUGGGCCGCACGCGCGCUACACUGACCAGUGCAACAAGCAUCCGUCCUUGGCCGACAGGCUCGGGCAAUCUUUGAACGCUGGUCGUGAUGGGGAUAGACUUUUGCAAUUUUUGGUCUUCAACGAGGAAUUCCUAGUAAACGCAAGUCAUCAACUUGCAUUGAUUGCGUCCCUGCCCUUUGUACACACCGCCCGUCGCACCUACCGAUUGAAUGGUCCGGUGAAGCCUCCGGAUUGGCGCGCACCUCGGUGCCGCCGAGAAGUUGGCUAAACCUUACCAUUUAGAGGAAGGUGAAGUCGUAACA
rnacentral:rRNA from 1 species